GUAUUCCAUUUCGCCAUACGGCAGACAAACAUCCAAUAAUCUUAAACAAGAGUUUGUGAAUUUCGAAAGCAGGCUUUGAAAAAAAAGGCCUACCUUCAAAAUCUAAGUGCACAGGUGUAAAUUGGACUAAGGGGGAGUGAGCACAUGCAGUCAAACUGCCAGCAUCAACUCCCUUGCAAUUCGUUAAUGAUCCUUCCGCAGGUUCACCUACGGAAA
rnacentral:misc_RNA from 1 species